rnacentral:tRNA from 1 species
GGGUCGUUAGCUCAGUUGGUAGAGCACCGGCCUUUUAAGCCGAUGGUCGAGCGUUCAAAUCGCUCACGACCCACCA